UACGUAGGGGGCAAGCGUUGUCCGGAAUCACUGGGCGUAAAGCGCGCGCAGGCGGUCAUCUACGUCUGGGGUGAAAGCCCGGAGCUCAACUCCGGGAUUGCCUUGGAUACGGGAUGACUUGAGGAUCGGAGAGGCAAGGGGAAUUCCACGUGUAGCGGUGAAAUGCGUAGAUAUCGGGAGGAACACCUGUGGCGAAAGCGGCGCACUGGACCACAACUGACGCUGAGGCGCGAAAGCUAGGGGAGCAAACAGG
rnacentral:rRNA from 1 species